GGGGGCGUAGCUCACCUGGCUAGAGCGUUUGAAUGGCAUUCAAAAGGUAGUCGGUUCAAGUCCGAUCGUCUCCAUCA
rnacentral:tRNA from 1 species